GACGAACGCUGGCGGCGUGCUUAACACAUGCAAGUCGAACGGAAAGGCCCUGCUUUUGUGGGGUGCUCGAGUGGCGAACGGGUGAGUAACACGUGAGUAACCUGCCCCUGACUUUGGGAUAACUUCAGGAAACUGGGGCUAAUACCGGAUAGGAGCUCCUGCUGCAUGGUGGGGGUUGGAAAGUUUCGGCGGUUGGGGAUGGACUCGCGGCUUAUCAGCUUGUUGGUGGGGUAGUGGCUUACCAAGGCUUUGACGGGUAGCCGGCCUGAGAGGGUGACCGGCGACAUUGGGACUGAGAUACGGCCCAGACUCCUACGGGAGGCAGUAGUGGGGAAUAUUGCACAAUGGGCGGAAGCCUGAUGCAGCAACGCCGCGUGCGGGAUGACGGCCUUCGGGUUGUAAACCGCUUUCGCCUGUGACGAAGCGUGAGUGACGGUAAUGGGUAAAGAAGCACCGGCUAACUACGUG
rnacentral:rRNA from 1 species